AGAGAGAGACAUGCGCGCAUAUCAAUAAGCGGAGGAAAAGAAACUAACAAGGAUUCCCUUAGUAACGGCGAGUGAAGCGGGAAGAGCUCAAAUUUGAAAUCUUCAAGGUUUUACCUUGACGAAUUGUAGUUUAAAGAAGUGUUUUCUGCUGAAGUUUUGGUAAAAGUUCUUUGGAAUAGGACAUCAUAGAGGGUGAGAAUCCCGUAUUUGACCAUUAUUUUCAGCUUUGUGAUACACUUUCAAAGAGUCGGAUUGUUUGGGAAUGCAGUCCAAAAUAUGGGUGGUAAAUUUCAUCUAAAGCUAAAUAUUGGCGAGAGACCGAUAGCGAACAAGUACCGUGAGGGAAAGAUGAAAAGAACUUUGAAAAGAGAGUUAAACAGUACGUGAAAUUGUCGAAAGGGAAGCGUUUGACACCAGUGUUGUUUUCUCGAAAAUCAAUUAAAAAUGGCUCGAUUUUGUAUUGUUGAGACCUUAAAAGCUCACUGUACAUUUUUCGUGUCUUUUUUAAUGCACUUUUCGUCUAACAAGUCAACAUCAGUUUCUUUUGUUGUAAAAGGGUCAUUGGAAGGUGGCUUUCUUUUCGGAGAAAGUGUUUAUAGCCUUUGGCCUCUGCAAUCGAAGAGACUGAGGUCUGCAGCGUAGACUCUUCGGGGUUAGAUACAUUUGUGCUAAGUUAUAGCUUUUUAUAGACAACUUGCUGACUAUAAUUAGUCAUGUAGCUUACUCGCUUAUGCUAUUUUACCUACGCUUAGGAUGUUGAAGAUGUAGCACAUCAU
rnacentral:rRNA from 1 species